rnacentral:rRNA from 1 species
UACACUCCUACGGGAGGCAGCAGUGGGGAAUAUUGCACAAUGGGCGCAAGCCUGAUGCAGCCAUGCCGCGUGUAUGAAGAAGGCCUUCGGGUUGUAAAGUACUUUCAGCGGGGAGGAAGGCAAUACGGUUAAUAACCGUGUUGAUUGACGUUACCCGCAGAAGAAGCACCGGCUAACUCCGUGCCAGCAGCCGCGGUAAUACGGAGGGUGCAAGCGUUAAUCGGAAUUACUGGGCGUAAAGCGCACGCAGGCGGUCUGUCAAGUCGGAUGUGAAAUCCCCGGGCUCAACCUGGGAACUGCAUUCGAAACUGGCAGGCUUGAGUCUUGUAGAGGGGGGUAGAAUUCCAGGUGUAGCGGUGAAAUGCGUAGAGAUCUGGAGGAAUACCGGUGGCGAAGACGGCAUACG